GACCAUAGCGAGGUGGUCCCACUCAUUCCCAUCCCGAACAGGACAGUGAAACGCCUCAGCGCCGAUGAUAGUGCGGAUUCCCGUGUGAAAGUAGGACAUCGUCAGGC
rnacentral:rRNA from 1 species